rnacentral:rRNA from 1 species
UACGGAGGGUGCGAGCGUUGUCCGGAAUCAUUGGGCGUAAAGGGCGCGUAGGUGGCCCGGUCAGUUCGUGGUGAAAGCGCGGGGCUCAACCCUGCGUCGGCCAUGAAUACUGCCGCGGCUGGAGCACUGUAGGAGGCAGGCGGAAUUCCGGGUGUAGCGAUGGAAUGCGUAGAGAUCCGGAAGAACACCGGUGGCGAAGGCGGCCUGCUGGGCAGUUGCUGGACACUGAGGCGCGACAGCGUGGGGAGCGAACAGG